AUGAGGUUUUCUUCUUUUUGUUUCAGGAUUAUCGCCAGAGAAGUGGGCAGAUUCCAGCAUUUGGAGAGUGGGACUAUGACAAUGAGUUGCCUAUAACUCAGUACUUCGAAUGUGCUAGACAAGCUGGUUUGAUUCGGUUCAGCUCUUCGUCUGGUGAAUCCAAUCCUUAUGUUUCUCCCCACGACUUGUAUCAAGUCGAUUCAAGGAGACGUUCUUCUGAACUCCCUCCUCUACAAAGACGAGUAGGGGAAG